UACAAUGUCAACUCAAAUUUUCCAUAAACUAAACCCAGAUUUCUAAAUGCCAAACAAAUUCAUUUCCAUUUUACAUGAGGCAUAUAGAAUAGACAAGGUGAAAAUGUAAUUGCAAUCUAAAAACAAUCUACCAUCUUAAUUUCUCAAAUGCUGAUAUGCCUAUGGCUUUAGGAAUGUGGUAAUGCUUGCCUCAAUGUCAAUCGCAAUCUUCCAAAACUAAACCCUAUCAAGUAAACUAAAUCCUAUCAAGUAAUCAGUAAACCCAACAGGAAAAUAUAAACCCUAAUCCAAAUAUCACAAU
rnacentral:lncRNA from 1 species